UGAGCACGGUGCUUUCCGGUGCAUGACUUGUUCCCACAUCCUGUCUCUAUCUCCUGACACUGAGAGGGACUGUGGACAGCACAAUACAUUCAUCAGUGCCUAGAGAUUUCCUAUUACCUUAUGCUGUUAGAUCAUCUCUGUGCAUUUUCAUUGGUGACGACUCAGCAGUUAAUGUAUUAAUCAACCUCAAUGAGCACAACAAUGAGAUUCUUUUGGACGUUUGCAGGUUUAAACGUGACCUUCACGACCAGUCAGAAUUCUGUUUCCCCAUCUGAAAAGGUCUGUAAUGAAACCCACGAAGAGAAAACUAUGUAUAGACCAGGAGGAAGAAAGGCCAAACACCGGCGUGGUGGUGCUGUCGAUGUGCUGAGUUUUGCAGACUGAAUGGUACUUCCAUCAUGGAGUCAGUUGUGCUAAGGUCUAGGAACCUAGUAAGAUCUGGGGUCCUGUUAUACUACUUCCAGUUCUCUCUCUGUCUGCAUCCUAGGCAGGGCCAAGAGAGGCGCCUGGAGACCUGAGAUCUGGAUGGGCCAGCGCUCUCGCUCUGUUCCAGGACUCUGGACGGUGGAGGUGGGCCAAGCAGAGCUCCAGAGAACACUGCUGGACUGCGAUAUACCUUCCCCAGACCCCGCGACCUACCUAUCCCUUAAUUUGAAAGUUACACCAUUAAAUAAAUCUCCUUUUAACUACGUGGAGUGGCCUUAAUAAUUUCACCAAUAUGUGAGAUCUUUUUUUUAAUAAGCCAUUUUGUAGAGACUACAUUGAGCAAACUUAUUUGCAUACAACAUGGUAACUCCAUGUGGUUGUCCCAUUGCUUUCUGAGCAUUGGCCCACUUAAGCUUCAAACCUACUCUAAAUAGCUGCUAUACAAGCAAGGAGACUGAGUUUAGCAGGGAAAUGCCCUGUGGCACUUCCCUUCAUCCUACACCGCCUGACUUCUCUAGGGUCAAUGACCAACCUACAUAGUGAUAAACUGCUUACACUCUAUCUGCCUCUCAGAGAGUUGCAUUAAACUCCUGAGGCACCACACACUAUUUACAUCAGUGAACACCACUCUGUCCCUUUAUAAGAGAUCUUUAAGUAAUGUCAGCGGUUUAAGACAUCUGUCACUCAUGAGGUCUUUCCCUGCUCCCCAACCUGGUUCCUGGGCUCCUAUUCUAAUAGCAAGGAUUUCCUUUUAUUGCUAAAUCUUGAUGUAAGUGAUAGGUGCUGCCGGAAUAUAGUCCAAGAAUAGAGUUGUAUGAGGGGAGUCCUGAGGGCUUGUGAGAAAACUCCAAGAAAACAAGACAAGAGUCUUGUGACCUCAGUUUCUUCCAAACGCAGAAUUGUUCUUGGAAUAUGUUUUCUCGCUCCUCCCAGGUGUAGCGGACAGGAGUGAGUUUACUUCAGCUGUUGCUAUUCAGGUGCCUCUAUGGAAAACACGUUUCUGCCACACCCAGAGUGUCCUUGUGACUGGACACUUUACUCGCGUGACUCUUCUUAAUUCUCAGAGUAUAAAUUGUCUGAUGCUCUGAAUAAAGUUGGUUAUUGCACGAGGCUUUGGUCCACCUCAUUUUUAGGCCAAUUUCUCCGAGGUUCACAUGGCUAACUAGGGCGGCCAACAAGGUGCUAUUUAAGAUCUACUUCCAUAGAGUCCUAUUUAUGACGUCCAGACAGGUUUUAUGAUCUGAAGAGCUACUUUCACAGGCACGUUUACUGCGAUGACCUCUGAUUCAAAACCCUCUGGUGGCCACAUGGAGGAGUGUCUAACAGUGUGAUCUGUUGGUUAGCAGACAGGGACUAGAAAUAACAACAGGACUAUGACCUCCAACACCUAGGAACUUAGCACAGCGAGGCAGCAUAGUGAGUGCUGGCAUCUUUUAUUUUAUAGAAAUCCAAACAGUGAUAAAUUACUCACCUGUCCUCAGUGCUGGAGCUCACUUGGGGCCAUGUGCAUGCAAGUGCUCCAACAUUAUACUAUAUCCCCCAGUUUUCAACUUCUGUAGAGCUGACUACAGUUCUGGGUACUGCUCACGGAUGCUGGCUUUGGGUUCCAUAGAAUCUACCGAGCAACUUUCUGUACCAACGUUUUGCUAUGAUGACUAUACACAUAAUGGUGGGUGUGAAAUUUUUCUAGCAUAGUUCCUGGUACAGUAGUCUGGCUCAAACGGAAGACAUGACAAGUGUGUUACGUAAUAAGAAACAAGGACAAACCAUGUCUGGCUCAUCAGGACUAUCACAUGUAUAUUAAUAAGAGUACCUGUCACACAUAAAAUUGGAAUUCCUUUUUAUUCCCAUAUACUCCUUUACUUCCAUUUCUCCUUGAAUCUUGCCCGUAUCCAUUAACUGCCUCUAAAACCUUGUACUAUUAAGUUGUCAACAGAAAUGAGUCAUGGUCCAGGCAGAUGCCAAUAAUUUUGGGGGAAGGUAUUAAAGAGGUUGUGAUUUCAGUAUGGGCUUGCUCUUACGAGCCCAUUUUCUGCCUCCCCCAAAGUCUCCCAGUAUGUCUGCCACUUAUUUUCUCCCUCCAUAGCCUUGCCCAGUGCCUCUGUUUAAGCUGGUUAUGGAUGUUCGACCUGUUAAGUGUUAGACACUCAACUUCUAAGAAGACAGGUUUGCAAGCAAUAUCCAUCCAGCCUCUUCCUCCUCAGGCCCUUCUGCCCUUAGCAUCGAACUGCCUUUUUUUUUUUUUUUUUUAAGAUUUAUUUAUUAUGUAGACAGUAUCCUGCAGGCCAGAAGAGGGCACCAGAUCUCAUUAAUUACAAGUGGUUGUGAGCCACCAUGUGGUUGCUGGGAAUUGAACUCAAGACCUCUGGGAGAGCAGUCAAUGCUCUUAACCAGUGUGCCAUCUCUCCAGCCCCUCAAACUGCCUUUGAUGCGAAAGCAGAAAGCGGUUA